AGGGUUAUAGUUAAUUAUAACAUUUAAUUUGCAUUUAAAAAGUAUUGAUCAAAUCAAUUUACCUUA
rnacentral:tRNA from 1 species